GCCAGGCAUGGUGGGCAUGCCUGUAAUCCCAGUGGCUUGGGAGGCUGAGGCAGGAGGAUCACGAGUUCAAAGCCAGCCUCAGAAAAAGCAAGGUGCUAAGCAACUCAUUGAGAUCCUGUUUCUA
rnacentral:sRNA from 1 species